UUGUUCAUGCCAAAUGGAUAAAAAAUAAGCAAGUACGAGUCUGAUAAAAAAUGCUAGUCAGAUCGCAUAUUUUCACCGUUGUAAUAUGCGAUUCUGACUAACAUUUUUAUCGGACUCGUACUUGCUUAUUUUUCUCCAUUUGGCAUGAAAAA
rnacentral:miRNA from 1 species